UUUUUGUUUUGUUUCAAAAGAAUGUUACAAGUGUUACACUGCAGUGUUACAGUUGAAAUAUUAAAAUAAGCAACUGUGAUCAUGAAAUAUUGAAAUUAAGCAACUGUGAUCAACUGCGAUAUAUUUGAUAUCCAUAUACUUAUUUGCUGGUCAGUGAUCCUGAUCAACUGUAUUAAAUACUUUCAAGGUGCAUAAGUGAAAAGAGGGGUGGAGAUUUUAAUUAUGGUUUUAAUAGACUUCUAGAGAGAGAUAUAUCUAUUUGAGUAAAAUAAUAAGGGAUGUUGAUUGGACUUUGGGUUUGGUAUAAGCACAAGGCUGAGAAAGAAAAAAGAACAAAGAAAACAAUUAAUCACAAGGUCGUAAGAACUUACAUCCUUCUUUGUUUGCAGUGUGUUAAAAUUACUUAUGUAUUGAUUGUUCAUCUUAUAUUUUGUUCUCUUUUACACUUGGCACAUGAUUUUGACAAAAUACUUUAUAUUUCCAGAAAAUAUGAGGAGAUCUGUGCACCCAUGGUUGAAGAAUUUUGUUACAUUACUUAUAGGGUCCCUUAUUGAUAACACAUGUUUUAAGGAAAGAGUGGGCAGUAAAGGCGCGCAAAUCAUAUAGCCAAAAUGAUAUUGACGAGGUGUGCAUUGAAGUGGCUGAUUAUAUACAGAGUUUGGUGUAAGACUUUUAGCUUCCAUGAUUUUGAGUAAGGCUAGUUUUUGCUUUGAAGCAAAGUUUGGUGUAGAACAUACUUUUGUAGUUGGUUGCUAAUAUGUUUCUAAGCUAGCCUUUGUAGGUUUUGGGUUUUAUUUUGUGAAUUAUGUUGAAUCAUGAAUUUGGAAAGAAAAUUAAUGGAAAGCUCCAAUUUUUGGGUGAUGAGAAA